GAUGAAGAACGUAGCGAAAUGCGAUAAGUAAUGCGAAUUGCAGAAUUCAGUGAAUCAUCGAAUCUUUGAACGCACAUUGCGCCCGCUAGUAUUCUGGCGGGCAUGCCUGUUCGAGCGUCAUUUCAACCCUCAGGCCCCCAGUGCCUGGUGUUGGGGAUCGGCCCAGCCUUCCUGUAAGGCCGCCGGCCCCGAAAUCUAGUGGCGGUCUCGCUGUAGUCCUCCUCUGCGUAGUAGCACAACCUCGCAGUUGGAACGCGGCGGUGGCCAUGCCGUUAAACACCCCACUUCUGAAAGUUGACCUCGGAUCAGGUAGGAAUACCCGCUGAACUUAAGCAUAUCAAUAAGCGGAGGA
rnacentral:misc_RNA from 1 species